CACGCGCUGCCAAGUCCGCCCGCAGCAAGCCGGCGAAACGCUCCGCUUCAGGGAAGGGCAAAAGGGAAGCGACCUACUGCUUGGGCAAAGGUGCCAACCCCCAGCGUCAAGGCCGCAGCGCUCAAGUCAGGUGCCCGAGCCGCGCAUCGCGAACAGCAAAGACGACUGAUACCGCCUGGGUGGCUCCUGCGAGCGCGUCCUAAACCGCGGCUAUCGCGCUGCCGCGCUGCGGAUACUGAAACUAAAACAUGGCGGGUGGGUGACCGAUCGGUCCUGGAGCGCAGCCUUCAAGGGCUGUGACUGGAAAUAACUUCUUGUAGCUGCCAGCCAGCACCCGGCGCUCACACAGAGACCUCGCCGCCGCAUCGCGCUCCCGCCGCGGGGCGCGCCAGCUGGACAGCGGUGCCGCGGGCGGUGCCCCUGACGCAAAACCACCCAAAAAUUAAAGGAAAACAGGAGGGACGCCCGCCCGGCCGCCGACGGGCAGGCCCCAGCGGGUCGCAGAGUCCGCCCCGGGGCCCCGCCCCGCUCCUCUCCGCCGGGCCGCGGCGCAGCGCUGCCCGCCCCGCCGUUACUGCCCGCGGGGCCGCCGAGCUCCUCCACCCGGCACCGAGGGAGCAGCCCCGGCACCCCGCGCCCCGCCGGCAGCUCCCUCGCGCCCCCUCCCCACCGGGUCGCCGUGGUAACCGCACCUCCGCCCGCCCGCCCGCCACGCUCACCUCAGCCCGCCGCCGCUCCCGCCGCUUCCGGGCACUGCACUUCCGCCGCUUCCGGGCUAGAGGGGCCGCGCCGCCAUAGAGUUAGAGCGGGGCAGGGCCAGAGUGUCGUCCCGCCGCCAUCUUGCCGGGGGAGUUGGUGGGCGGCGGGCCCGCCUUCAGCUCCCGCCGCUUGGCGCCCUGUGGGCCGGCAGCGUGGCAGCACCGCCUGAAGAUGCCAACUCCGUGUACCCAUUCUUCACGUGCUCCAUGCCUGAUUACCCUUGCCGCAUCCUCUGAUCAUUUUGUAGCAUUACCAUGAUUUUUCUGAGCCACCAGGAUGGGAGAGAACCGCACAUCUCAUUCAAGAGGUGUUGGGACCGAAAAAAGCUGGGAGUCAGGCGAGGCAAAGUGACAAGACUGAGGGUGGUAUCACAAGAGCCGAGCGACAUGACAUGUGUCAGGUCCUGACUGACAGCCAGCCUGAAGAAUGGUGUCCCUCCGAAGUGAACCCAACCACUGCCCAUGCCCAAAGCUUCCUCAACAGCUGUUUGCAGGGUUGUUCACAUCAACCUGAAGGGUGUGCAAGGCAAAAUUAGGGAUUACCGAAAUGUGGUUCUAUAAUUACAAGGUUUUCUUUCUGGUUUGAUUUUAAAAUAUUACUAAAACUUUGAAAAGGGUA